rnacentral:rRNA from 1 species
GUGUCAGCCGCCGCGGUAAGACGAAGGGGGCAAGCGUUGUUCGGAAUUACUGGGCGUAAAGGGCGCGUAGGCGGCCUGAUAAGUUAGCCGUGAAAGGCCUGGGCUCAACCUGGGAAUUGCGGUUGAUACUGUUGGGCUGGAGAGCGGGAGAGGAUGGUGGAAUUCCCAGUGUAGAGGUGAAAUUCGUAGAUAUUGGGAAGAACACCGGUGGCGAAGGCGGCCAUCUGGACCGUAUCUGACGCUGAGGCGCGAAAGCGUGGGGAGCAAACAGGAUUAGAAACCCUUGUAGUCC